rfam:Gossypium raimondii Chr02_contig_213, whole genome shotgun sequence.
AAUUAAAAUUUUCAUCCAUUUUCACUAUUAAAAUUUGAUGUGAUUGAUGGAAUAAUUAGAUAGUUUCACAUGCCAUGCCAUGUGUACAUCAUGACGAUGUACAGAGACUAAUUUUUAACAGUAAAAACGGAUAAAAUUUUAACA